GACCGCGUAGCUCAGUUGGCAGAGCAUUGGGCUAGUAUUCCAAAGGUCGUAGGUUCGAUUCCCACCGUGGGGC